GCCGGUGUGGUGGAAUUGGCAGACGCCCGGGAUUCAAAAUCCCGUGUUCGCAAGAACGUGCGGGUUCGACCCCCGCCACCGGCACCA
rnacentral:tRNA from 1 species